rnacentral:rRNA from 1 species
CCAGCAGCCGCGGUAAUUCCAGCUCCAAUAGCGUAUAUUAAAGUUGUUGCAGUUAAAAAGCUCGUAGUUGAACCUUGGGCCUGGCUGACCGGUCCGCCUCACCGCGUGCACUGGUUCGGCCGGGCCUUUCCUUCUGGGGAGCCGCAUGCCCUUCACUGGGUGUGUCGGGGAACCAGGACUUUUACUUUGAAAAAAUUAGAGUGUUCAAAGCAGGCCUAUGCUCGAAUACAUUAGCAUGGAAUAAUAGAAUAGGACGUGUGGUUCUAUUUUGUUGGUUUCUAGGACCGCCGUAAUGAUUAAUAGGGAUAGUCGGGGGCAUCAGUAUUCAAUUGUCAGAGGUGAAAUUCUUGGAUUUAUUGAAGACUAACUACUGCGAAAGCAUUUGCCAAGGAUGUUUUCAUUAAUCAGUGAACGAAAGUUAGGGGAUCGAAGACGAUCAGAUACCGUCGUAGUCUUAACCAUAAACUAUGCCGACUAGGGAUCGGGCGAUGUUAUCUUUUUGACUCGCUCGGCACCUCACGAGAAAUCAAAGUUUUUGGGUUCUGGGGGGAGUAUGGUCGCAAGGCUGAAAC